rnacentral:rRNA from 1 species
AACCUGCGGAAGGAUCAUUACCGAGAGAGGGGCCCUGCGCUCCCGGGGGCUCCGGCCCCCAACUCUUCACCCGUUGCGUACCUACCUUUGUUGCUUUGGCGGGCUUCGGGGUACCCCCGGGGUUGGCUCCAGAGUCGGCGAGCGCCCGCCAGAGACCCAUACAGUUCUAUUAUCAGUGACGUCCGAGUAAAACAAAUAAUCAAAACUUUCAACAACGGAUCUCUUGGUUCCAGCAUCGAUGAAGAACGCAGCGAAAUGCGAUAAGUAAUGUGAAUUGCAGAAUUCAGUGAAUCAUCGAAUCUUUGAACGCACAUUGCGCCCCUCGGUAUUCCGGGGGGCAUGCCUGUUCGAGCGUCAUUACACCCCUCAAGCGAAGCUUGGUAUUGGGCUAUCGCCCCCGCGGCGUGCCCGAAAAGCAGUGGCGGUCCGGUGUGACUUGAAGCGUAGUAAAUUUUCAUCCCGCUUGUAGAGUUCUCCCCGCGGCCGGCCAGACAACCCCCAUCAUUUUCAACCAUUGACCUCGGAUCAGGUAGGGAUACCCGCUGAACUUAA